UGCUAUAUAAAUAAAACUUGAUUUGAUUUGAUUUGAUAUUUAUUUAGAUUGUAUCACAAGUUAUUUUUGUACUCUUAGAUCGUCAAUUCCUAUUUGACUAUGGUGGGAAGGAAAGCUGGCGCUCUCAUGAUAGACUCCUACCUCAUGACGUCGCUCUGGGAGGGAAACCACAAAGGUUCUUUGAGAAGUUUGGACCUUUUCAAACAUGAUGUGGCAGUUGGAGCGGUCUGCCACCACGGACACUGGACACUGAUUAUCAUGUACCUGAAGGAAAGGCGGGCCCUGUACUUGGACCCAUUUGUGGCCACAGAAGCACAGAUCCAAAAAUGCAAGGACGUAACAAGGCUUGUUUGAGACGAGCUGCGGCUCGCCUCGAAAGUAGACG